rnacentral:sRNA from 1 species
UGAAGCGCCGGGAGGCGGACAUUAAAGUGAAGUGGUUGCGGUAACCUGGCCUGGGCCUGAAGUGAGUGAGAGGCACAUGAAGAGAAGUAUUCAAGUAUUUAUACAGAUAGGAAUCAAGAUAAUCAACAAUGUCUGUCACUGAGGAAGACCUGUGCCACCAUAUGAAAGUAGUAGUUCGUGUACGUCCGGAAAACACUAAAGAAAAAGCAGCUGGAUUUCAUAAAGUGGUUCAUGUUGUGGAUAAACAUAUCCUAGUUUUUGAUCCCAAACAAGAAGAAGUCAGUUUUUUCCAUGGAAAGAAAACUACAAAUCAAAAUGUUAUAAAGAGACAAAAUAAGGAUCUUAAAUUUGUAUUUGAUGCUGUUUUUGAUGAAACGUCAACUCAGUCAGAAGUUUUUGAACACACUACUAAGCCAAUUCUUCGUAGUUUUUUGAAUGGAUAUAAUUGCACAGGUAUUUGUUUCAAUUUGGGAUUUAAUUUCUCUAUCCGAUUUCACUUUUGCAUUAGGAGGGACAUCUACUUGACCCUUCUAAAUAUAAUCAAAUUUAAGGAGCUUGUAUGCUAAAAAUUCUUAAGAAAUUCAAUAGACUUGAACUGUAAAUAUAGACUUUCUUUGAAAUUUUAGUUAUCAUAUAUAACUUAUACAUCAUUUGUAAACCUUUCUCUUCCAGGGCCUUACUGUGGCCCCUAUAGACAUCUGUCCUUUCAGUUGCCCAUGUUAUUAAACCACAUGCUUAUUGCAAUUAA